rnacentral:ncRNA from 1 species
AGAAGAAGAAUUUUCACUUAAAAAUUUAUUAUAAAUUUAUUUUACAUAUAAAUUUUUUAGUUAGUUUUAAAAAAAUUUUUAAAAAAUUAAAAAAAUUAUUUAUAGUAUUUAAUUUUAAAUAUUUAAGAAAUUAAGAUUUAGUAAUAUAAAAAUUAUUAACUAAUUUUGUGCCAGCAGUUGCGGUUAUACAAUAAAUAAAUUAAAUAUUAUUAGUAAUAAUUAAUAAAUUAAUUUAAUUAUUAUAAAUUUAUUAUUAUUAAGUAAAAUUUUAAUUUUAAAAAAUAUAAUUAAUAUUUAAUUAUGAAUUAAUAAAUUUUAAUAUAAACUAGGAUUAGAUACCCUAUUAUUAAAAAAUUAAAAUUUUAAACUAAAAUAGUAAAUUAGCUUUUAAACUUAAAAAAAUUGGCGGUAUUUUAGUUUAUUUAGAGGAAUCUGUUUAUUAAUUGAUAUUCCACGAAUAAAUUUACUUAAUUUAAAGUUUAUAUAUCGUCGUUAUAAAAAUAUUUUAUAAAAAUAUAAAAUAUUUAAAAAUUUAGAUAAAAAAUUAAAUCAGAUCAAGAUGUAAUUUAUAAUUAAGAAUAUAAUGGAUUACAAUAAAAAUAUUUAUAAUGAAUUAUAAUUUGUAAUAAUUAUAUGAAAUUGGAUUUAAAUGUAAUUAUAUUUAAUUUAAUUUAAUGAUUUAAUAUUAAAAUAUGUACAUAUUGCCCGUCGCUCUCAUUUUAAAGUUGAGAUAAGUCGUAACAAAGUAGAGGUACUGGAAAGUGUUUCUGGAAAU